ACCCCUACGGGAGGCAGCAGUGGGGAAUAUUGCGCAAUGGAGGAAACUCUGACGCAGCCAUGCCGCGUGUGUGAAGAAGGCCUUCGGGUUGUAAAGCACUUUCAGCGGGGAGGAAAAGCUUGUAGGUAAUAUCUGCAAGCCGUGACGUUACCCGCAGAAGAAGCACCGGCUAAUUCAGUGCCAGCAGCCGCGGUAA
rnacentral:rRNA from 1 species